rnacentral:misc_RNA from 1 species
AAGACUAUAGACCUGCGGAGUACCUGCGGAAGGAUCAUUACCGAGUUUACAACUCCCAAACCCAAUGUGAACGUUACCAAACUGUUGCCUCGGCGGGGUCACGCCCCGGGUGCGUCGCAGCCCCGGAACCAGGCGCCCGCCGGAGGAACCAACCAAACUCUUUCUGUAGUCCCCUCGCGGACGUUAUUUCUUACAGCUCUGAGCAAAAAUUCAAAAUGAAUCAAAACUUUUAACAACGGA